rnacentral:rRNA from 1 species
GGCUCAGAUUGAACGCUGGCGGCAGGCCUAACACAUGCAAGUCGAACGGUAACAGGAAGCAGCUUGCUGCUUCGCUGACGAGUGGCGGACGGGUGGAGUAAUGUCUGGGAAACUGCCUGAUGGAGGGGGAUAACUACUGGAAACGGUAGCUAAUACCGCAUAACGUCGCAAGACCAAAGAGGGGGACCUUCGGGCCUCUUGCCAUCGGAUGUGCCCAGAUGGGAUUAGCUAGUAGGUGGGGUAACGGCUCACCUAGGCGACGAUCCCUAGCUGGUCUGAGAGGAUGACCAGCCACACUGGAACUGAGACACGGUCCAGACUCCUACGGGAGGCAGCAGUGGGGAAUAUUGCACAAUGGGCGCAAGCCUGAUGCAGCCAUGCCGCGUGUAUGAAGAAGGCCUUCGGGUUGUAAAGUACUUUCAGCGGGGAGGAAGGGAGUAAAGUUAAUACCUUUGCUCAUUGACGUUACCCGCAGAAGAAGCACCGGCUAACUCCGUGCCAGCAGCCGCGGUAAUACGGAGGGUGCAAGCGUUAAUCGGAAUUACUGGGCGUAAAGCGCACGCAGGCGGUUUGUUAAGUCAGAUGUGAAAUCCCCGGGCUCAACCUGGGAACUGCAUCUGAUACUGGCAAGCUUGAGUCUCGUAGAGGGGGGUAGAAUUCCAGGUGUAGCGGUGAAAUGCGUAGAGAUCUGGAGGAAUACCGGUGGCGAAGGCGGCCCCCUGGACGAAGACUGACGCUCAGGUGCGAAAGCGUGGGGAGCAAACAGGAUUAGAUACCCUGGUAGUCCACGCCGUAAACGAUGUCGACUUGGAGGUUGUGCCCUUGAGGCGUGGCUUCCGGAGCUAACGCGUUAAGUCGACCGCCUGGGGAGUACGGCCGCAAGGUUAAAACUCAAAUGAAGUGUGACGGGGGCCCGCACAAGCGGUGGAGCAUGUGGUUUAAUUCGAUGCAACGCGAAGAACCUUACCUGGUCUUGACAUCCACGGAACUUUCCAGAGAUGAGAUAAUGUGCCUUCGGGAACCGUGAGACAGGUGCUGCAUGGCUGUCGUCAGCUCGUGUUGUGAAAUGUUGGGUUAAGUCCCGCAACGAGCGCAACCCUUAUCCUUUGUUGCCAGCGGUCCGGCCGGGAACUCAAAGGAGACUGCCAGUGAUAAACUGGAGGAAGGUGGGGAUGACGUCAAGUCAUCAUGGCCCUUACGACCAGGGCUACACACGUGCUACAAUGGCGCAUACAAAGAGAAGCGACCUCGCGAGAGCAAGCGGACCUCAUAAAGUGCGUCGUAGUCCGGAUUGGAGUCUGCAACUCGACUCCAUGAAGUCGGAAUCGCUAGUAAUCGUGGAUCAGAAUGCCACGGUGAAUACGUUCCCGGGCCUAUGUGACACACCGCCCGUCACACCAUGGGAGUGGGUUGCAAAAGAAGUAGGUAGCUUAACCUUCGGGUCGGCGCUUACCAC